ACAUAGGAAUCUACCUCAAAGUCAUGGAUAAUCUGGAGAAAUCCAGGAUAAUACGUGAUGUGCUCUUCGGAGUAAAGGUUUACUGCUUUGAGAGGAGCCUGUGUCCUAUCAGCUUGUUGGUGAGGUAAAAGCUCACCAAGGCAAUGACGGGUAGGGGGUGUGAGAGCAUGGCCCCCAACAUUGGAACUGAGACACUGUCCAAACACCUACGGGUGGCUGCAGUCGAGAAUAUUCGGCAAUGGGCGAAAGCCUGACCGAGCGACGCCGCGUGCAGGAUGAAGGCCUUCGGGUUGUAAACUGCUUUUCUAUGGGAAAAAUUUCGAUGAUUGUACCAUAGGAAUAAGAGGUUACUAACUCUGUGCCAGCAGUAGCGGUAAUACAGAGACCUCAAGCGUUAUCCGGAUUUAUUGGGCGUAAAGCGCAGGUAGGUGGUUUUGUUAGUCGUAUGUCAAAGCUCCGGGCUCAACCUGGGAAAGGCAUGCGAAACGGCAAGACUCGAGAAUGUGAGAGAUUGGUGGAAUUCAUGGUGUAGUAGUGAAAUGCGUUGAUAUCAUGAGGAACACCCAAGGCGAAGGCAACCAAUUGGCACAUUUCUGACACUCAGCUGCGAAAGCGUGGGUAGCGAAUGGGAUUAGAUACCCCAGUAGUCCACGCCCUAAACGAUGCAUAUUAGGUGUGGGGAGAAUCGACCCUCUCCGUGCCGUAGCUAACGCGUUAAAUAUGCCGCCUGGGAAGUACGAGCGCAAGCUUAAAACUCAAAGGAAUAGACGGGGAUCCGCACAAGUGGUGGAGCAUGUGGUUUAAUUCGACGGUAAGCGAGGCACCUCACCAAGGUUUGAAAUCUAGCUGGAGAUCCUAGAAAUAGGAAGUCCUUCGAGGCCGCUAGACCAGGUGCUGCAUGGUUGUCGUCAGCUCGUGUCGUAAGAUGUUCCGUUCAGUCGGGAAACGAGCGCAACCCUCACAAAAUGUUACAUGUGUCAUUUUGGACUGCCCAGCCCAGCGCGCACGAAG
rnacentral:rRNA from 1 species